rnacentral:tRNA from 1 species
UGCGACGUAGCUCAGUCGGAUAGAGCGUCUCGGCUUCGGAGUGAUUCAGGGCGCGCUGAAUCGCGGGCGAGAAGGUCGCGGGUUCAAAUCCCGUCGUCGCAUCCC